rnacentral:rRNA from 1 species
ACAAGCGGAGGAGCAUGUGGUUUAAUUCGAUGAUACGCGAGGAACCUUACCUGGGCUCGAACGUAAGAUGACUGUAGGUGAAAGCUUACAUCUCUUCGGAGCAUUUUACGAGGUGCUGCAUGGUUGUCGUCAGCUCGUGCCGUGAGGUGUCGGGUUAAGUCCCAUAACGGGCGCAACCCCUACCUUAGUUGCCAUCAGGUAAUGCUGGGGACUCUAAAGGAACUGCCUACGCAAGUAGUGAGGAAGCGGGGAUGACGUCAAAUCAGCACGGCCCUUACGUCCAGGGCUACACACGUGCUACAAUGGCCGAUACAGAGGGCAGCUACCUGGUGACAGGAUGCAAAUCUCCAAAGUCGGUCUCAGUUCGGAUCGGAGUCUGCAACCCGACUCCGUGAAGUUGGAUUCGCUAGUAAUCGCGCAUCAGCCAUGGCGCGGUGAAUACGUUCCCGGGCCUU